CACGUGCGAAACCACAUGAUUACAGUCAAAAAAGCGGAAGCGCGCGAAUGAUUAGUUUAUUAAUUUUAAGGCGAAUUCAUUUUUAUUUAAACACGGAGCAUAUUUUUAUUCAGUUUGAUGUUUUCAGAUAACGUGGAGAUCUUCAACAGAUCACUGGAACUGUCCAUAGUCCCUGGCUGCUUCAAAUGCUCCACCAUCAUCCCUGGCCCAAAGAAACCCAAGAUAACAGGACAUAAUGACUGCAGACCCUUGCUGGAUCCACUGCUCUUCUCCCUCUACACUAGGGAUGCACUAUAAAUCACAUGUGAUUUUCAUGCACAUCUCGUCAGUAAAGCCGGUGUUGUUGAUUAGUAGUAAAUCUCCAUCAUGUGCUUUCAGAUGGAGCAGCAUUUACUACACAGAGCCGUAGUUCACUGACAAGCUAUACAAUAUCACAUUCAUAAUCGCAGACAAUUUGUCUGAACAUCAACAGAACCGGCUCUACUGAUGAGAUGCGCAUAACAAUCACAUGCGAGUUAUCGUGCUGCCCUACUCUACACCAAUGACUGCACCUCUACAGACCUGAGGUCUUCGGACUGUCGAGAGGAUUACUGGUGCUUCCCUACCCACCUUUCAAGAACGAUCUUCAACAGAUCACUGGAACUGUCCAUAGUCCCUGGCUGCUUCAAAUGCUCCACCAUCAUCCCUGGCCCAAAGAAACCCAAGAUAACAGGACAUAAUGACUGCAGACCCUUGCUGGAUCCACUGCUCUUCUCCCUCUACACUAGGGAUGCACUAUAAAUCACAUGUGAUUUUCAUGCACAUCUCGUCAGUAAAGCCGGUGUUGUUGAUUAGUAGUAAAUCUCCAUCAUGUGCUUUCAGAUGGAGCAGCAUUUACUACACAGAGCCGUAGUUCACUGACAAGCUAUACAAUAUCACAUUCAUAAUCGCAGACAAUUUGUCUGAACAUCAACAGAACCGGCUCUACUGAUGAGAUGCGCAUAACAAUCACAUGCGAGUUAUCGUGCUGCCCUACUCUACACCAAUGACUGCACCUCUACAGACCUGAGGUCUUCGGACUGUCGAGAGGAUUACUGGUGCUUCCCUACCCACCUUUCAAGAACGAUCUUCAACAGAUCACUGGAACUGUCCAUAGUCCCUGGCUGCUUCAAAUGCUCCACCAUCAUCCCUGGCCCAAAGAAACCCAAGAUAACAGGACAUAAUGACUGCAGACCCUUGCUGGAUCCACUGCUCUUCUCCCUCUACACUAGGGAUGCACUAUAAAUCACAUGUGAUUUUCAUGCACAUCUCGUCAGUAAAGCCGGUGUUGUUGAUUAGUAGUAAAUCUCCAUCAUGUGCUUUCAGAUGGAGCAGCAUUUACUACACAGAGCCGUAGUUCACUGACAAGCUAUACAAUAUCACAUUCAUAAUCGCAGACAAUUUGUCUGAACAUCAACAGAACCGGCUCUACUGAUGAGAUGCGCAUAACAAUCACAUGCGAGUUAUCGUGCUGCCCUACUCUACACCAAUGACUGCACCUCUACAGACCUGAGGUCUUCGGACUGUCGAGAGGAUUACUGGUGCUUCCCUACCCACCUUUCAAGAACGGUACACAUCCAGAGUGAGGAAAAGUGCUUAGGAAAUCACUCUGGAUCCUUUUUGAACUUUUGACAUCCGGUCGGCGAUACAGUGCAUGGAAUACGAGAGAAACAAGAAGUUUCUUUUCCCAGAAAAUCUGCCUAAGAAAAUCUGCCUAAUGAACAGUUAAAAGUCCCCCCCCCCCCCCCAUCGUGCAAUAAAAAUAUGUGCAAUAACCUUAUAUUUUAUUUGUUACCACCCCAUAUCCUAGUACAUCCCUACAUCUCAUUCUAUUCCAUUCCUAUUAUAUCUAUAUCACAACUGUACAUACAAUAUAUUUUAUAUUUCAAUUUGUUUUUCAGUUUUUUUAUUUAUAUUCACAUAUGUGUAUUUUUAUUCUUGUGUUAUUUGAAUUGUCUUAGUGUUGUUGCUGUCUCUGUGUACUGAAAGCUUGUGACACUAAAACAAUUACUAUAGAGAAUGCAUGUCAUAUUUGAGCUUUUGGAAUAAAACCUAUUUGUGGAAAUAUGUUUUGAAUGUUUUAUUCUUUCAAUUUUACAAAAAGGAAUAUAAGGAGUUGUUUUGUGAUGAGGUAAAAUGGGUAUAAAUAUUGUCUUUUCUAUAAUUUGUUAGUUAAAAUAAUUGAAAAGGUGAAAAACUGGUUUGAAAGAAAAAUCUAUUUAAUUUUUCAAGCUAAUUUUCCAAUUUUUCCUUCAUUUUUCCCUUUCCCCUUCCUUUUUUCUCAUUUUUUCUUUUCCCCCACCCAUAGCAGUCCCUUUUGCCCUGUUUUUGGCCGUACCUUCCGGCGAUCGGACUGCUGAACACUUCCUAACACUUCCUAACACAUUUUGAAUAAGUCCUAACACUUCCGAACUAAUUCCUAACACAAGUACGAACAUCACGUGGUCUAUGUCCUAACAACUCCUAACCAUCUCCUAACAGGUCCGAACGGGGCAAAACAGCCAUUGGUCGAGCGGAGCAAUACAGCCAUUGGCCGAAACAUAGUCACGUGCGAAACCACAUGAUUACAGUCAAAAAAGCGGAAGCGCGCGAAUGAUUAGUUUAUUAAUUUUAAGGCGAAUUCAUUUUUAUUUAAACACGGAGCAUAUUUUUAUUCAGUUUGAUGUUUUCAGAUAACGUGGAGAUCUUCAACAGAUCACUGGAACUGUCCAUAGUCCCUGGCUGCUUCAAAUGCUCCACCAUCAUCCCUGGCCCAAAGAAACCCAAGAUAACAGGACAUAAUGACUGCAGACCCUUGCUGGAUCCACUGCUCUUCUCCCUCUACACUAGGGAUGCACUAUAAAUCACAUGUGAUUUUCAUGCACAUCUCGUCAGUAAAGCCGGUGUUGUUGAUUAGUAGUAAAUCUCCAUCAUGUGCUUUCAGAUGGAGCAGCAUUUACUACACAGAGCCGUAGUUCACUGACAAGCUAUACAAUAUCACAUUCAUAAUCGCAGACAAUUUGUCUGAACAUCAACAGAACCGGCUCUACUGAUGAGAUGCGCAUAACAAUCACAUGCGAGUUAUCGUGCUGCCCUACUCUACACCAAUGACUGCACCUCUACAGACCUGAGGUCUUCGGACUGUCGAGAGGAUUACUGGUGCUUCCCUACCCACCUUUCAAGAACGAUCUUCAACAGAUCACUGGAACUGUCCAUAGUCCCUGGCUGCUUCAAAUGCUCCACCAUCAUCCCUGGCCCAAAGAAACCCAAGAUAACAGGACAUAAUGACUGCAGACCCUUGCUGGAUCCACUGCUCUUCUCCCUCUACACUAGGGAUGCACUAUAAAUCACAUGUGAUUUUCAUGCACAUCUCGUCAGUAAAGCCGGUGUUGUUGAUUAGUAGUAAAUCUCCAUCAUGUGCUUUCAGAUGGAGCAGCAUUUACUACACAGAGCCGUAGUUCACUGACAAGCUAUACAAUAUCACAUUCAUAAUCGCAGACAAUUUGUCUGAACAUCAACAGAACCGGCUCUACUGAUGAGAUGCGCAUAACAAUCACAUGCGAGUUAUCGUGCUGCCCUACUCUACACCAAUGACUGCACCUCUACAGACCUGAGGUCUUCGGACUGUCGAGAGGAUUACUGGUGCUUCCCUACCCACCUUUCAAGAACGGUACACAUCCAGAGUGAGGAAAAGUGCUUAGGAAAUCACUCUGGAUCCUUUUUGAACUUUUGACAUCCGGUCGGCGAUACAGUGCAUGGAAUACGAGAGAAACAAGAAGUUUCUUUUCCCAGAAAAUCUGCCUAAGAAAAUCUGCCUAAUGAACAGUUAAAAGUCCCCCCCCCCCCCCAUCGUGCAAUAAAAAUAUGUGCAAUAACCUUAUAUUUUAUUUGUUACCACCCCAUAUCCUAGUACAUCCCUACAUCUCAUUCUAUUCCAUUCCUAUUAUAUCUAUAUCACAACUGUACAUACAAUAUAUUUUAUAUUUCAAUUUGUUUUUCAGUUUUUUUAUUUAUAUUCACAUAUGUGUAUUUUUAUUCUUGUGUUAUUUGAAUUGUCUUAGUGUUGUUGCUGUCUCUGUGUACUGAAAGCUUGUGACACUAAAACAAUUACUAUAGAGAAUGCAUGUCAUAUUUGAGCUUUUGGAAUAAAACCUAUUUGUGGAAAUAUGUUUUGAAUGUUUUAUUCUUUCAAUUUUACAAAAAGGAAUAUAAGGAGUUGUUUUGUGAUGAGGUAAAAUGGGUAUAAAUAUUGUCUUUUCUAUAAUUUGUUAGUUAAAAUAAUUGAAAAGGUGAAAAACUGGUUUGAAAGAAAAAUCUAUUUAAUUUUUCAAGCUAAUUUUCCAAUUUUUCCUUCAUUUUUCCCUUUCCCCUUCCUUUUUUCUCAUUUUUUCUUUUCCCCCACCCAUAGCAGUCCCUUUUGCCCUGUUUUUGGCCGUACCUUCCGGCGAUCGGACUGCUGAACACUUCCUAACACUUCCUAACACAUUUUGAAUAAGUCCUAACACUUCCGAACUAAUUCCUAACACAAGUACGAACAUCACGUGGUCUAUGUCCUAACAACUCCUAACCAUCUCCUAACAGGUCCGAACGGGGCAAAACAGCCAUUGGUCGAGCGGAGCAAUACAGCCAUUGGCCGAAACAUAGUCACGUGCGAAACCACAUGAUUACAGUCAAAAAAGCGGAAGCGCGCGAAUGAUUAGUUUAUUAAUUUUAAGGCGAAUUCAUUUUUAUUUAAACACGGAGCAUAUUUUUAUUCAGUUUGAUGUUUUCAGAUAACGUGGAGAUCUUCAACAGAUCACUGGAACUGUCCAUAGUCCCUGGCUGCUUCAAAUGCUCCACCAUCAUCCCUGGCCCAAAGAAACCCAAGAUAACAGGACAUAAUGACUGCAGACCCUUGCUGGAUCCACUGCUCUUCUCCCUCUACACUAGGGAUGCACUAUAAAUCACAUGUGAUUUUCAUGCACAUCUCGUCAGUAAAGCCGGUGUUGUUGAUUAGUAGUAAAUCUCCAUCAUGUGCUUUCAGAUGGAGCAGCAUUUACUACACAGAGCCGUAGUUCACUGACAAGCUAUACAAUAUCACAUUCAUAAUCGCAGACAAUUUGUCUGAACAUCAACAGAACCGGCUCUACUGAUGAGAUGCGCAUAACAAUCACAUGCGAGUUAUCGUGCUGCCCUACUCUACACCAAUGACUGCACCUCUACAGACCUGAGGUCUUCGGACUGUCGAGAGGAUUACUGGUGCUUCCCUACCCACCUUUCAAGAACGGUACACAUCCAGAGUGAGGAAAAGUGCUUAGGAAAUCACUCUGGAUCCUUUUUGAACUUUUGACAUCCGGUCGGCGAUACAGUGCAUGGAAUACGAGAGAAACAAGAAGUUUCUUUUCCCAGAAAAUCUGCCUAAGAAAAUCUGCCUAAUGAACAGUUAAAAGUCCCCCCCCCCCCCCCAUCGUGCAAUAAAAAUAUGUGCAAUAACCUUAUAUUUUAUUUGUUACCACCCCAUAUCCUAGUACAUCCCUACAUCUCAUUCUAUUCCAUUCCUAUUAUAUCUAUAUCACAACUGUACAUACAAUAUAUUUUAUAUUUCAAUUUGUUUUUCAGUUUUUUUAUUUAUAUUCACAUAUGUGUAUUUUUAUUCUUGUGUUAUUUGAAUUGUCUUAGUGUUGUUGCUGUCUCUGUGUACUGAAAGCUUGUGACACUAAAACAAUUACUAUAGAGAAUGCAUGUCAUAUUUGAGCUUUUGGAAUAAAACCUAUUUGUGGAAA